rnacentral:ncRNA from 1 species
UAAGGUCGUAUCCGUGCUGGACUGCAAUGAUAAAUAAGGGGCAAUUUGCAUUGUAUGGCUUCUAAACCAUUUAAAGUUUAUUAUUUAUAUUUUAAACGACAAUGGAUGUGAUGCCAAUGUAAUUUGUAACAUAGUAAAUUGGGAGGAUCUUUGAUCACCUGGUGCCAUGCUAGUUACAUAUGAAAACAUUAUUUAAUACAAUGACAAAGCCUAGAAUCAAUUGUAAACGACUUUUGUAACGGGCAAGGUGUUGUAAGUGGUUGAGCAGCUGCCAUACUGCGAUCCACUGAAGCUUAUCCUUUGCUUGAUGAUUCGA